UGUAAUAGCUAACUUUACUUAAAAAUAAAUAGUGAUCAUAACUAGUUGCUCCAUAAUUUGUUGACUCUACUAGCUUACAAUAAGUUGACACAGCAUUUUGGUGAGGAGAGUAAUUAAACUUAUCAUACUUCAGUAACCUUUACUUGAGAAGUAUGAGUGUCUCCACACACUCCCAACAGUUGGUGGCGGUAAUGCACCAUGCUGGAUGCCAACCGCCAAUACAAAUCAACGAAGAAGAGAUUGCACAUGCGCAGUUCCUCCUGAGACGUUGGAUUUGAACCAUCACGCGGCAAAAGAACGUUUGUCUGGAUUUGGUUUGAAGCAUUAAUGCAGAGACUGCCAAGCAGGAAGUGCACUUCACGCUCCCGCUCAAGGUUCUGUCAGAGUUCUUUCGGUUAACCAGCAAAAACCUCAAAAUCGAGUUUUUCAAAGAACUGGACAAAUACACUCCUCGCUGUCUUGACAUUUUCAAGUCCAAGGGUGGAUGUACCGGCCAGAUACUUAAGGCAUAUUUGCAUCAUCAAAUCGCACUGGGGAAUACAGAUGUUACUGCUAAGUGAACAGCAGUCCUCCGUGGCCUUCCCAUCCUCCUUGGAGAUGAGAACAAAGACU